rnacentral:rRNA from 1 species
GGAAUAUUGGACAAUGGGCGCAAGCCUGAUCCAGCCAUGCCGCGUGUGUGAAGAAGGCCUUCGGGUUGUAAAGCACUUUCAGCGGGGAGGAAGGGUGUUGUGUUAAUAGCACAGCAUUUUGACGUUACGCGCAGAAGAAGCACCGGCUAACUCCGUGCCAGCAGCCGCGGUAAAACGUAGGAGGCGAGCGUUAUCCGGAUUCACUGGGCGUAAAGCGCGUGCAGGCGGUUUGGUAAGUUGGGCGUGAAAGCUCCCGGCUCAACUGGGAGAGGUCGUCCAAAACUACCAGACUAGAGAGCGAUAGAGGAAAAUGGAAUUCCCGGUGUAGUGGUGAAAUGCGUAGAUAUCGGGAGGAACACCAGUGGCGAAGGCGAUUUUCUGGAUCGUUUCUGACGCUCAGACGCGAAAGCUAGGGUAGCAAA